rnacentral:rRNA from 1 species
CAGCAGCCACGGGAAUACGGAGGGUGCAAGCGUUAAUCGGAAUUACUGGGCGUAAAGCGUGCGCAGGCGGUUGUGUAAGACAGGUGUGAAUCCCCGGGCUUAACCUGGGAACUGCGCUUGUGACUGCACAGCUAGAGUAUGGCAGAGGGGGGUGGAAUUCCACGUGUAGCAGUGAGAUGCGUAGAGAUGUGGAGGAACACCGAUGGCGAAGGCAGCCCCCUGGGCCAAUACUGACGCUCAUGCACGAAAGCGUGGGGAGCAAACAGGAUUAGAUACCAGGGUAGUCCCUGUCUCUUAUACA